rnacentral:rRNA from 1 species
UAGGGAAUCUUCGGCAAUGGACGAAAGUCUGACCGAGCAACGCCGCGUGAGUGAAGAAGGUUUUCGGAUCGUAAAACUCUGUUGUUAGAGAAGAACAAGGACGUUAGUAACUGAACGUCCCCUGACGGUAUCUAACCAGAAAGCCACGGCUAACUACGUGCCAGCAGCCGCGGUAAUACGUAGGUGGCAAGCGUUGUCCGGAUUUAUUGGGCGUAAAGCGAGCGCAGGCGGUUUCUUAAGUCUGAUGUGAAAGCCCCCGGCUAAACCGGGGAGGGUAAUUGGAAAAGGGGAGAAUUGAGUGCAGAAGAGGAGAGUGGAAUUCCAUGUGUAGCGGUGAAAUGCGUAGAUAUAUGGAGGAACACCAGUGGCGAAGGCGGCUCUCUGGUCUGUAACUGACGCUGAGGCUCGAAAGCGUGGGGAGCAAACAGG